rnacentral:rRNA from 1 species
GAUGAACGCUGGCGGCGUGCUUAACACAUGCAAGUCGAACGGGAAUUAUUUUAUUGACACUUCGGUCGAUUUAAUUUAAUUCUAGUGGCGGACGGGUGAGUAACGCGUGGGUAACCUGCCUUAUACAGGGGGAUAACAGUCAGAAAUGGCUGCUAAUACCGCAUAAGCGCACAGAGCUGCAUGGCUCAGUGUGAAAAACUCCGGUGGUAUAAGAUGGACCCGCGUUGGAUUAGCUGGUUGGUGGGGUAACGGCCCACCAAGGCGACGAUCCAUAGCCGGCCUGAGAGGGUGAACGGCCACAUUGGGACUGAGACACGGCCCAGACUCCUACGGGAGGCAGCAGUGGGGAAUAUUGCACAAUGGGGGAAACCCUGAUGCAGCGACUCCGCGUGAAGGAAGAAGUAUCUCGGUAUGUAAACUUCUAUCAGCAGGGAAGAUAGUGACGGUACCUGACGAAGAAGCCCCGGCUAACUACGUG